ACUACAUUUCCCAUAAUCCCGUUCACCUGAAAACCUUUGUAAACAAGACCACGAUUUGUUUUUGCGGAUGUGUAAAGUUUAAGGUGAAAAUGUAAAAUGUUAAAAAUAAACAGUAACUUUUGUUUUAUUAAAAGACAAAGUGUUGUCUGAAAAGACUUUAGAUUUGUGGAAAUAAAUACAAUAAGCAUUGGGAGAGAAGAGUGAUUUUUUUCCUGUAAGGUAUAGUGACUCCUGUCUGAAAUGGGGGAUUUGGAAGAAGAUGGAUACCCUGACUGAAAUAGAAAGUGAGGUGGACUCAGCAAUUACCAUUUCAUAAUAGCAACACUGGGCUCUACUGACAGGAUCGGAAGUUUAGAAUCCUUGGAGAUCAAGCAAAACACAGCUGGAGAUUUGGAAAGGAUGAAGCGCCUUUGACUAGACAGUAUCCUCACAGCUAUUCAUCUGAGCACCAAUCAUUUCUUUUCUUUUAUCCAUCACCGAGAAAGAACACUCUGAGUUUGGGAGUGAUGAAGAGAAAAGUGCUAGCCAUUUCGUUUUCACAGCUACAGUAAUUAAUAAAUGUUUUUUAGGAAAGCUUCUGUGCUUUCAAGAGAACAUACAAAGUAACAGACAAAUCACACACACAAAGUAACACAGACAAAUCACAGUUUUUUUUUUACAGCUGGCAGAUUACACUUUGUUUCUGAUUUAUGUUUCAACCAUUUCAUUCUGCAAAUAGCUAGCUUGAAUCUUUGGCCACCGGUAGUGUGCAUUACCAUUGAAAAUCUUGUAGACAUGCACUGUAAUGUCACCUUUUUUGAUAUCUUUCACCUAUACAAACGCGAUUAGUAAAGUACUGGGCUGUAUAAGAGCACAGGAUGUGAUGAUAUAGUUGAGCAAUAGCGUCAUGACAUGCACUAAACCCUUGUAACUUGCAAAAGGCUACCAGUUUAUUAGGUUUCUUGGCUAUUUUCAACUCCAUAAAAAGAAGUGAUGAGCAAAUGCCCAGCUGCACUUAGCAUUUCUUAUCUAAGAAGAUAUUAGAGUACGUGUGAUACCAGACUUAGCUCAACCCUCAUGUGCGUAACUCCUAGAAAAUCAAGUCAACAUUCUUCUAAGAUUAAUAUAUUAAUUAAGUGAAAGGAGUGACACAGAAUAAAUAUUGUAUAUAAGAUAUGUUGCCUCUGACAUCUUCUGAUGUCUACUAAAAUUGCAUUAAUUGAAAAUGAUGUUUGCAAAUGUCCCUCUUUGGUUCAACUAUUUUGAUCUAAAAUUGUAUCUGUUUAAAUCACCACAGUGAAAUUCACUUGUUUGGGGGUGUAAAAUGUGUUGCACUUUCACUCACAAUGCACAUAUGGAUGCCCUUUCAAUACAGUGAUGUACCCUCUACAAUGAGAAGCACUUCUCCCCCGCCUCUGUCUCAAUUCCUAUUGUUUUAUUUUCACUUUUUGUUUUAUUUAUGGCAGCCCAAAUGCAGUCUUCUGCCCACUCAACUGCGGCAGACACAAACAGGAAAUUAACACCCCUGCGGGGCCUUUUUCAAUGAGUGGCCUUAGCAGGCAGGAGGUGCAGGCAGACAGUGCCUGUAAAAAAGUAACAGUCCGAGCUCUAUAAAACUCUGAAUAGGAAUCGCCACUCAGACAGCAGAACAAGGGCAGUGAAAAACUCCCGCCUUGACUUGUCAUUUACAUUAAAAGAGGAAGGAACAGUAGUAUUCUUAAAAAAACAGCAUAGGAGAGACAGUAAACUAGCCGGAUUAUUGGACCGUAAAAAAACGUAAUACAAUCUCCAUGGCGGCAAGUCUGGUAUUCUGAAGCAUCUGCCCGUGUGCCAAAGCCAAGUCCUUCGGCUCUUGCUAUCAGCAGAAUCCCUUCUACCCGGGUAGUCUGACUGAGCAGAUGUGGCAGGCAGGGCAAACCCAUAAAAAAAGAAACCUGGGGCAUUUACUGACUGGAAGCUGAAGGAAGAGUGUGCACCAUCAAUUCUGUGGCCAUAUAAAUAAACAUUUUCCAGCGCUUUUCUUAAAAUGGAAGCUGGUACACUUUAAUCAAACAACCCUGUAGCUGUAGGUGAAUUGCUUUAAGAUAUAAAAAAUUCAGAUCCCCUCAAGUCAAUUAGUUUUAAGUACCUCGUGCUUUUAAAAGUGUUGGUAUGUUAACUAAGGUCUUUAAUGACUCAUUUCUCAUGAUUAGAAUAUUUAUGAUUGUUUGAUGUGUAAUGUACCGUACAAGAAAAAAUCCCUAAACUGUAACUGUAGGGUUUUAAAAAAGUUCAAACUCAGGAUCUGAAUCGGAUCGGUACUUUUUUGCACUGUUUUUUUUGUUGUUGUGACUUUGAGUUGAAGCUUAAAAAAGCUGGCAAGAAAUCAAAAACCAACAUAAAUCUGUAUUUGACUUAAUUAUUUAAGUCGGGGGGGAUUCUUGUUAUAAAAAUGGAAGGUUAUUUAUAACUUGUGGGGUUUAAUUUGAGGUAAUAAUCUGGCCACAGGCUGUGGGUGAGCCCCUAGGUGGAAUGCAGGGGACUUUCACAGUGGGAUGUGGGUGAUAAGAGCUGUAGGUUUGUAACAUUUGUGAACACAUAUCAUCAGAAACUCCCAGCUAGUCCUCACAGACUUUUCUCUGUGAAAUGCUUUAUGUGUUUUUUGUAUUCAACUAACAUACGGUUUGCUUGCCUUUAUUGUUCUUUAAAGUGCCUUUUGUGUACCUGUACUAAUUGCACAGAAGUGAAAAUGUAUUAAGUAGCAGUUAAUUGAAUAUGUAUAAAAGAAAUGCUGUCAGAACACAAGUUGUACUUGAACUCUGCAUUUACAAAUUCUGAUUAUUAUAAUUACGUACUGAUUCUGAUAAUAAACAUGAAUAAAGAUGCCCCCUUUUAUUAACACUA